GAUGAACGCUGACAGAAUGCUUAACACAUGCAAGUCGAUGGGGAAGUGGUGCUUGCCCCAUGGCAACCAUGGCGGACGGGUGAGUAACGCGUAAGGGACUUACCUGCAGGACUGGGAUAACAGGGGGAAACUCCUGACAAGACCGGAUAAUGUCAUGGAGCUGCAUGGCUUUAUGAUGAAAGGAGACGCCUGCGGAGAGCCUUGCGUCCUAUUAGCUAGUUGGUGAGGUAAUGGCUCACCAAGGCGAAGAUAGGUAGCCGGCCUGAGAGGGUGGACGGCCACAAGGGGACUGAGAUACGGCCCUUACUCCUACGGGAGGCAGCAGUGGGGAAUAUUGGACAAUGGGGGCAACCCUGAUCCAGCAAUUCUGUGUGCACGAAGAAGGUUUUCGGAUUGUAAAGUGCUUUCAGCAGGGAAGAAGUAAGUGACGGUACCUGCAGAAGAAGCGACGGCUAAAUACGG
rnacentral:rRNA from 1 species